AUUCCAUGGGAUUGGAAGAGAACAAAGGAACCGCAGGAACUCCUUUGAGGCCAGCGUGAGGGUGAGGAGUUAUCCUUAGGGAAGCCCAUAAAAAGAUAAAAAUAGGGUAGCAAUAUUCUUGACUUUUGGCUUGGGCGAGAAAGUUCCACAGCUAAAGUUUGCACUAUUGAUAAGGAGAGCCCAAGAGGCCAUACUUCAUGUCCUGGCUGCUUAACUGGAAAAGGCUAAACAUGGCAGUUUCAGUAUCAUGACUCCAACACCACCACCAAGAAGCCUAGGAAGCUGUAGAGGUGGCAAACAAUGACUAAGCAAGUAGUUGUGGUUAGAGUGUCAGACUAGGACCUAAGAGACCAGAGUCCAAAUCCCAACUCUCUGGGUGACCUUGGGCCAGCCACUCAGUCUCUCAGCCUAGCCUAUCUCGCAGGGUUGUUGUGGGAAUAAAAUCGAGAGGGUGAGAACCAUUUACACCACCUUGAGCUCCUUGGAGGAAAUGCGAGAUAUACCGGUACACAAUGAACAAUGCUAUAUACACUUGAAACUGGAAUUUUUCAAAAGCAGCAGUAGCAUCAUGCCCAGGCAAGCUGGGGUAGUUUAUUUUUCUGUGUUAUAAAGUUUUAGAAUGUCAAUUUCUUUUUUUGUGCAGUUGAGGGUCAUCUAGUCCAACUCCCUGCAGUUGUGGGGGGGUUUUAUUGUUGCAAGCCGCCUUGAGCAGUGUAAGAGCAUUGGAAGGGUGGGGUGUAAACUUUCCCCCUAAAAUAAAUAAGCCAAAUAUUAUGUUGAGCCAUUAAUUCUGUUGUUUACAGGACAUCUAGGAGUGAGAGGACCCUGACUACUCUGUCAAAUGCCAAUAUAGUUCUAUUCUUCCUUUGCUUAUGACAAGUAAAUGGAAUGCUUUGGAUCUCUCCCAGGGUUAAGAGGUGAUGCAGUUUCACAUCUGGACUGAGCCAUUGUUACCCCUAACGGAGUAGCCUACAAGAAUAAAGAAUGUAACAAACAU